rnacentral:rRNA from 1 species
CGAAGGGAAACCGAGUCUUAACUGGGCGUUAAGUUGCAGGGUAUAGACCCGAAACCCGGUGAUCUAGCCAUGGGCAGGUUGAAGGUUGGGUAACACUAACUGGAGGACCGAACCGACUAAUGUUGAAAAAUUAGCGGAUGACUUGUGGCUGGGGGUGAAAGGCCAAUCAAACCGGGAGAUAGCUGGUUCUCCCCGAAAGCUAUUUAGGUAGCGCCUCGUGAAUUCAUCUCCGGGGGUAGAGCACUGUUUCGGCAAGGGGGUCAUCCCGACUUACCAACCCGAUGCAAACUGCGAAUACCGGAGAAUGUUAUCACGGGAGACACACGGCGGGUGCUAACGUCCGUCGUGAAGAGGGAAACAACCCAGACCGCCAGCUAAGGUCCCAAAGUCAUGGUUAAGUGGGAAACGAUGUGGGAAGGCCCAGACAGCCAGGAUGUUGGCUUAGAAGCAGCCAUCAUUUAAAGAAAGCGUAAUAGCUCACUGGUCGAGUCGGCCUGCGCGGAAGAUGUAACGGGGCUAAACCAUGCACCGAAGCUGCGGCAGCGACGCUGAUGCGUUGUUGGGUAGGGGAGCGUUCUGUAAGCCUGCGAAGGUGUGCUGUGAGGCAUGCUGGAGGUAUCAGAAGUGCGAAUGCUGACAUAAGUAACGAUAAAGCGGGUGAAAAGCCCGCUCGCCGGAAGACCAAGGGUUCCUGUCCAACGUUAAUCGGGGCAGGGUGAGUCGACCCCUAAGGCGAGGCCGAAAGGCGUAGUCGAUGGGAAACAGGUUAAUAUUCCUGUACUUGGUGUUACUGCGAAGGGGGGACGGAGAAGGCUAUGUUGGCCGGGCGACGGUUGUCCCGGUUUAAGCGUGUAGGCUGGUUUUCCAGGCAAAUCCGGAAAAUCAAGGCUGAGGCGUGAUGACGAGGCACUACGGUGCUGAAGCAACAAAUGCCCUGCUUCCAGGAAAAGCCUCUAAGCAUCAGGUAACAUCAAAUCGUACCCCAAACCGACACAGGUGGUCAGGUAGAGAAUACCAAGGCGCUUGAGAGAACUCGGGUGAAGGAACUAGGCAAAAUGGUGCCGUAACUUCGGGAGAAGG